GGAGGCUUCGCCUAGUCUGGCCUAUGGCGCGGGACUGCUAAUCCCGUUGGGUCGUUUACGGCCCUCGAGGGUUCGAAUCCCUCAGCCUCCG
rnacentral:tRNA from 1 species